rnacentral:rRNA from 1 species
UUUUAUGGAGAGUUUGAUCCUGGCUCAGGAUGAACGCUGGCGGCGUGCCUAAUACAUGCAAGUCGAGCGAACGGACGAGAAGCUUGCUUCUCUGAUGUUAGCGGCGGACGGGUGAGUAACACGUGGAUAACCUACCUAUAAGACUGGGAUAACUUCGGGAAACCGGAGCUAAUACCGGAUAAUAUUUUGAACCGCAUGGUUCGAAAGUGAAAGACGGUCUUGCU